rnacentral:rRNA from 1 species
CUGGCUCAGGAUGAACGCUGGCGGCGUGCCUAACACAUGCAAGUCGAACGAGCGAGAGAUGAACCUAGUGAUUCUUGAGCGAGUGGCGGACGGGUGAGUAACGCGUGGGUAACCUGCCUUACAGAGGGGGAUAACAGGUUUGAAAAGACUGCUAAUACCGCAUAAGCACACAGUACCGCAUGGUACAGGGUGAAAAGAUUUAUCACUGUAAGAUGGACCCGCGUCUGAUUAGCCAGUUGGCAGGGUAACGGCCUACCAAAGCGACGAUCAGUAGCCGACCUGAGAGGGUGAUCGGCCACAUUGGGACUGAGACACGGCCCAAACUCCUACGGGAGGCAGCAGUGGGGGGAUAUUGCACAAUGGAGGAAACUCUGAUGCAGCGAACGCCGCGUGAGUGAAGAAGUAUUUCGGUAUGUAAAGCUCUAUCAGCAGGGAAGAUAAUGACAGUACCUGACCAAGAAGCCCCGGCUAACUACGUGCCAGCAGCCGC